UCUCCUAUGGGAGGCAACAGUGGGGAAUAUUACACAAUGCGCGGAAGCCUGAUGCAGCGACGCCGCGUGAGGGAUGACGKCMUUCGGGUUGUAAACCUCUUUCAGCAGGGACGAAGCGUAMGUGACGUACCUGCAGAAGAAGCGCCGGCCAACUACGUGCCACCAGCCGCUAUAAUA
rnacentral:rRNA from 1 species